AUUGAACGCUGGCGGCAGGCCUAACACAUGCAAGUCGAGCGGAUGACGGGAGCUUGCUCCUUGAUUCAGCGGCGGACGGGUGAGUAAUACCUAGGAAUCUGCCUGAUAGUGGGGGACAACGUUUCGAAAGGAACGCUAAUACCGCAUACGUCCUACGGGAGAAAGCAGGGGACCUUCGGGCCUUGCGCUAUCAGAUGAGCCUAGGUCGGAUUAGCUAGUUGGUGAGGUAAUGGCUCACCAGGGCGACGAUCCGUAACUGGUUUGAGAGGAUGAUCAGUCACACUGGAACUGAGACACGGUCCAGACUCCUACGGGAGGCAGCAGUGGGGAAUAUUGGACAAUGGGCGAAAGCCUGAUCCUGCCAUGCCGCGUGUGUGAAGAAGGUCUUCGGAUUGUAAAGCACUUUAAGUUGGGAGGAAGGGCAGUAAGCUAAUACCUUGCUGUUUUGACGUUACCGACAGAAUAAGCACCGGCUAACUCUGUGCCAGCCGCCGCAGUAACAC
rnacentral:rRNA from 1 species